UGAGGAACAUGAUCUUCGGCGGGGGGAUAGCCGGCCCAACGGCCGGGUAAUACCGCGUACGACCUUUUGGGGACAUCCCCGAUUGGUGAAAGCAGCAAUGCGCCGAAAGAGUGCCUCGCGGCCUAUCAGCUAGUUGGUGGGGUAAUGGCUCACCAAGGCGACGACGGGUAGCUGGUCUGAGAGGAUGGCCAGCCACAGUUGGGACUGAGACACGGCCCAGACCUCCGUACGGGAGC
rnacentral:rRNA from 1 species